AGCAGUGGGGAAUUUUGGACAAUGGGCGCAAGCCUGAUCCAGCAAUGCCGCGUGAGUGAAGAAGGCCUUCGGGUUGUAAAGCUCUUUUGUCAGGGAAGAAACGGUGAGGGCUAAUAUCUCUUGCUAAUGACGGUACCUGAAGAAUAAGCACCGGCUAACUACGUGCCAGCAGCCGCGGUAAUACGUAGGGUGCAAGCGUUAAUCGGAAUUACUGGGCGUAAAGCGUGCGCAGGCGGUUUUGUAAGUUUGUCGUGAAAGCCCCGGGCUCAACCUGGGAAUUGCGAUGAAGACUGCAAGGCUUGUAUCUGGCAGAGGGGGGUAGAAUUCCACGUGUAGCAGUGAAAUGCGUAGAGAUGUGGAGGAACACCGAUGGCGAAGGCAGCCCCCUGGGUCAAGAUUGACGCUCAUG
rnacentral:rRNA from 1 species